UAAGGAAUAUUGGUCAAUGGACGCAAGUCUGAACCAGCCAUGCCGCGUGCAGGAUGAAGGCCCUCUGGGUUGUAAACUGCUUUUGUCUGGAAAGAAAUCCCCUUUUUUAAGGGUGUUGACGGUACCAGAAGAAUAAGCACCGGCUAACUCCGUGCCAGCAGCCGCGGUAAUACGGAGGGUGCAAGCGUUAUCCGGAUUUACUGGGUUUAAAGGGUGCGUAGGUGGAUAAGUAAGUCAGUGGUGAAAGCUCCGAGCUUAACUCGGAAACUGCCAUUGAUACUGCUCAUCUUGAAUAUUGUGGAGGUUGGCGGAAUGUGUCAUGUAGUGGUGAAAUACUUAGAUAUGACACAGAACACCGAUUGCGAAGGCAGCUGGCUACACAAUUAUUGACACUGAGGCACGAAAGCGUGGGGAUCAAACA
rnacentral:rRNA from 1 species